rnacentral:rRNA from 1 species
AGGGCGAUGAGAGCUCUACUGCGUUCGUAACUCUUCUUACAUGGACAGACUACGUUUAGUGGUCGGAAGUUGGAUAGAAUAACAGGUCUGUGAUGCCCUUAGAUGUUCUGGGCUGCACGCGCGCUACACUGACAGAGGCAGCGAGUAUACAACCUUGACCGGAAGGUCUGGGCAAUCUUUUGAAACUCUGUCGUGCUGGGGAUAGAGCAUUGCAAUUAUUGCUCUUCAACGAGGAAUUCCUAGUAAGCGCAUGUCAUCAGCAUGCGUUGAUUACGUCCCUGCCCUUUGUACACACCGCCCGUCGCUACUACCAUUGGAAUGGAUAAA